rnacentral:lncRNA from 1 species
AAACAUUCUACAAUCCACAGAAUAGUCGCGACAGCAAAGAAUCAUCUCGCACAAGAUGUCAAUAGCACCAAGAAUGAAGUAGAAGACUGCUCUCCUAUAGCAAAAAAUCUUCUACAGCAACAGCAAUGAAGAUCCAAAAGGGUGACGACCUAAGACAAUCUGCCCCCAGCCUUGAGAAUACUAGCUGGAAAGUGUGGGGGAGAAGUGACUUUGGCAAGAGUACUUCUGCUCACAGACAAAACAGGAAGUAGCUUCCUCCCCUAAAGAAAGCUAGCUCUUCCAGGGAGUGUGAAAGCCUACGUUACCUUUUGCGAAUUCAAGAGUUGGUCUCAUUGUGCCAAAAACUUAAAAUAGAUUCCACAACUGAAGGUUUCUAAAGUUGCUAUACUUUUUGAAGAACAUCUCAUGGGAAAAAGUUUAUUUAGGCAAAAAACAGACAGUUUUCUCCAGUCAUAAAAGAUUUAUUGUGUGAGAGACUUGCUAUACCAGAGACUGGAGAUACUGUAACAAAAUUCAUCUGCCACAAAAAUGUACAACUACUUUCAAAGAUAAUGAAAAAUUCACAGCUCAGUUUUUUCUUUAACAGAAUUGGUAUCAUUUUCAAGUAGAGUAAGAAGGCAUAUGUUCUUCAGUUUUAAUGUGGAAAAGAAAAGCGUUUUAUUUUUCUGUGAAGCUAGAUGACAGUUCAUUUCCCCAUAAUGACUUAAUUCUUCAUCACUCUGUCCUGACCAACCUUUCCCUCCAUUUUACCUGAAUCCUUAAGGGAGUCCACAUCUUUCCUAUUCUGACCUCCCGGAUGUGGGUCUUCAUCACUAGUUGUGUGUGUGCGUGCACAUGUGUGUGCACAUGUGUCCUGGAGUGGGGAAGAGGCAUGUAUUAUUUCUAGAAUUCUAAAAGAACAAGUAACCAAAUGCUUUAAAUUUAUAGCUUUGUCCAUGUUGCCCUGUUCCUCUAGGAUUUUAAAAUACAGGCUCAUUAUAUUGACCAAUUUUCACAAUACUAACAGCAAUUUUGAAAGUUGUCUGGUCAUUUUUUUUUAAGGAAACCUCAACUAAGGUAAAUACUUCUAUAAUUAUGUCAUUUACACUUGGCUUAUUUUCUAACUUAACUAUAAAAAUGAACAUAAAAUUACCUUCUACUAUCUUGUCUAAAUCUUUAUCUUUCUCUCCUAAAUAUGCUGUCAAUAUUGUGAGGGCCAUUGCCCAUUAGAAUAUGAUAAGCAGUCGAUUUUCUUCCCGCAGAACAGAUAUUUGAAACAACACAGUGGGUUCUUAAGCGAAGUCUAUUAUUUUCUCCAAGUUGAACUUGAAAGUUGCCAGACCAAGCAGAAAACAGAUUGGUGGUGUUUCAGUAAAGGCAAAGCGGUAUAGAGAAAAUAAUACAGUCUGUGAAGUCACACAGGCCUGAUUUCAAAUCCCAGCUCUGCCAUUUACAAGCUGGGUGGUCCUGGAUAAAUUAUUUAACCUCUGUGGUCUUCAGUUUCCUCCCAACUUUGUAGGGUUAUUGAAAUGACCCUAAUUAGCAUAGAUCAAUGCAGUCUCCAAGGUGGAAGAAUACACGAGCUAAAACUGUACAUUUCUGGAACGGACUCUCCUACUUUUUGCUAGAGGCCAUGGGGUAAGUUGAAUACCUUUUCUGAGCCUCAAUUUGCCCAUGUAGGAAAAGGGAAUAAUGGUACACAUUAUUGUUGUGAAGAUUAAAUGAGCUAAAUUAAACAAAGUGCCAAUUACAAUCUCUACCACAAGAAAGUGUC